AUGUUUGAUACAAAGAAAAAAUUUAAGUAUGCGGUGAUAAAGUGGGCUAUGUCUACGCAGAGGGUUUUCCGGACACACAUAUCAAGUCCAACAAACUAUACCGUGAAAUGUGUUGAAACAAGUUGUCCUGGGAAGGUGCACGGGCACGUGCCGAAGUAUGACAUCCACUGGGUUGUCACCAUUGUCGUCCCACAUAAUUGUGUGAGGAAGAACCUACUGGUGAAGCAUCCGAACCUGACUUCAAGUCUCAUUGCGCAACUCAUGUAUACUGAGAUAGUAGAGAAGAAAGAUAUGGAAGCAAAACACAUCCAGACAGCAGUGAAGGUGAGAUGGAAUUAUGUCAUUCCUUAUGGGAAGGCUUGA
rnacentral:rRNA from 1 species